UGAGCCAUAGUGAAAUGGUAUCACGUUCAGUUUACUGAUCACUCAGUCUACUGAGAAGUGCUGGUUCGAAUCCAGUUGGCUCAA
rnacentral:tRNA from 1 species